AUUUACUUGAAGACAGAGUGACAGAGAGAAGGAGAGACAGAGGGAGACACAGAUCUUCUGUCUGCUGGUUCACUUCCCCAGUGGCUGCAAUGGCUGGGGGUGGACAAGGCUGAAGCCAGGAGCCAGGAACUCCAUCUGGGUUUCCAAGGUACAAUUUCUAUACCAGAUGCUCAAGACUUGUGUGAGUUUUGGCAAACAUGCACUCGUGAGCCAUCACCCUGAUCAAGCUAUACAGCAAUUCACUCCCAGAAUUCCUCCAUGCUCCAGUCAACAGGACCCCCACUCUCUGACCACCUAUAACCACCUAUUCUAGAUUGGCUUUGUCUUUGAUCUUUAAAUAAACAGAAUCAUCAGUGCUGUCUUCUUUUA